UGAGCGGUUUGCGGUGUUACUCGCUCGACACCACCGUCAUCUGACAACACCACCUAAGGUCCAAGGCAAAGGGAACCUUUGAUUUUAGACGGGAACCUCCAGAACUGUGAGCUAAAUGAAACUUUUCUCUUAUAAGUUAAUUAUCUCAGGAAUUUUAUCAUAAUAUAAUGAAAGUACGAACUCGUACUAUGAGGAAGACAUAUAGACCCCAAGUAUACAUCACCUAGUACAACCACUUCUUCACUAUACUUCAAUCUAGAACCAGGACCAUGUGGAUGACACCAAGAUCUGCUGCCAGGUUGUGCAAUAACUCGUCAUGUAGAACACAAUUGCAGUGGCUUCUCAAUGCCUAUGUGGCUCAGCAUGGUGAAGUAACUUCUUAGGCUCCCCAGUGCAAGCAGGGCACCACCAAGAUCUCUUCUCAAAAGAAUGUCCUCUUCUGGAAUAUCCUUGGAGCCUGUGGUGGUGUGGUCUUGCACAUCACGAGGAAAGGGCCCAGCAGAGAGUGACUCAGCUGAUGAUGGGGUCCAGAAGCAGAGAGAGGAAGGGGACACUGGAGGAAGAACCCAUUCAGUGUAUACUUCCAGGGACCUACCUCCUCUAGCCUCAUUCUACCUUCCUGCAGUUAUCACUGUCAGUCCGUUCAAACUAGGAUGGACUGAUUAGAUUACAGGUCUCAUAAUCUAUUCCUUUAAAUUCUAAAUAUCCUUACAUUAACAGAAUUUGGGGGAGGAGGUAUGUAAACUAGUCCUUGACUAUUUUCUUCUCCCCACAUUUUUACAUAUCUCAUUCUGUUUAGUAUGGUAUCUUUUUUUGGGAGACACUUUAUAAUCAAACUUUAUCACCCUUCCUUCCAGAGUAUUAGAUAUACAUAUCAUUGAGGCCUGGAGAGUAUAAUCAUAGUGGAGGGAAGGAUUUAUACCAUGAUGGAUUACUUCCCUCUGGUCACGUGUGUGUCUAAGAUAGUUCCUGUUCUUAGAGAAUUGAGAGCCUAUUUGGUAAAUGGAAAGCAAGCACCUAUUAUAGGACAGGGUGGUAUAUUCCACAAAAGAACUUAAAAAGUAAUUUCAUGGGAGCACACAGAAGGGCACUUCACAAAGCCAUUCUUAGAAUGUGGGUGGCUAUACUAGGAAAAUCCUCCAAAGACAGAUGGUUUCUGACAUGACAAGUUCUGGAGGAGUGGAAAUUACUAAGGUAAAAAAGAGUUAUGGAUGUGGAAAGAGUGCACAGGGUAAGCAAGGGUGAGCAGAUAAGAAAUAGCCUGUUUGGGGAAACCAUGUACAAUGAGAAAUAUGGGUGUCAGUGCAGACAUGAAGGCUUUCCACCUCUGCUAAGCGGGUGACUCAGCUGAUGAUGGGGUCCAGCUGAGUCACCUGGACUUUAUCCACUCAGUAGGGAUGGUGAUAUUCAUUUGUCAUGUAUCCUUCUAUUGUAUUAAAAAUAUAUUGAAAUAUUUGACAUGCUUUAAAACAAUA